UUGACCUCAAAUCGGGUGAGACUACCCGCUGAACUUAAGCAUAUCAAUAAGCGGAGGAAAAGAAACUAACAAGGAUUCCCCUAGUAACUGCGAGUGAAGCGGGAAAAGCUCAAAUUUAAAAUCUGGUGGCCUUUGUCCAUCCGAGUUGUAAUUUAGAGAAGCGUCUUCCGCGCCGGACCGUGCACAAGUCUCCUGGAAUGGAGCGUCAUAGAGGGUGAGAAUCCCGUCUUUGGCACGGACACACCGGGGCUUUUGUGAUGCGCUCUCGAAGAGUCGAGUUGUUUGGGAAUGCAGCUCAAAAUGGUGGUGAACUCCAUCUAAAGCUAAAUAUUGGCGAGAGACCGAUAGCGAACAAGUACCGUGAGGGAAAGAUGAAAAGCACUUUGGAAAGAGAGUGAAACAGUACGUGAAAUUGUUGAAAGGGAAACGCUUGAAGUCAGUCGCGUCGCCCGAGACUCAGCCUCGCCUCGGCUCGGUGUACUUCUCGGCUGACGGGUCAGCAUCAAUUUUGCCCCUUGGACAAUGGCGAGGGAAAUGUGACACCUUCAUAGGUGUGUUAUAGUCUCUCGUCGCAUGCGAGGGUCGGGAUUGAGGAACUCGGCACGCGCCCUCGGGCGUCGGGGCACUAUGCCCACGAUACGUGCUUAGGAUGU
rnacentral:rRNA from 1 species